AUAUACCUAGCUGCACUCCCCUGCUAGAACCUGCAAACAAGCUCAAGGUCCAUUUAUAGGAGAAUGUAGGAUAGUCACUCUUCCAAGAGCGCAGACACAUCCAAGUGAGGUGCUGCAUGGGGCAGUCUGCCAUUAGAA
rnacentral:snRNA from 1 species